UAUUACUGGUGGCACUGCGGAUGGAACCACUCUGCUAACUUGGGGACCAGCAGGCCUGGUACUGGGACAGGUUUCCUAUGGAAGCUGGUAGGACAGGCAGUCUGUGGGGAAGACCGGGGGCUUUGGACUCAGAUGAACCUCAGGAGGAAAGUAAGGCUCAGGGAGAUUGAAGGACUUUCCCAUGGCACACAGACAAUAAUAGAAGAGCUGGGUUUUGAACCUUGUCCUACAUGGGCUCUCACUACCCUCUUCUCAUCUGCUGCGCUUUGGUUCCUGUGCCUGCAAGGAGUUAGGUGACGAUCUGACCUCAGCUCCAGUUUCCGAGGAGUGGAGAGGGAAGUGCAGCGGAGAGAAGCUCACGGCUUUCUUAUUCCUACUCAAGCGUGGUUAUGGACAGCUUCCAUGCAAACGCAGUGUAUUGCGCGUCGCAUCCUCACUGUUUGUGUUGGGUUUCUGAGCUUUUCCCUUGAGUUGAUUUGUCCUCUUACAUUGGCCCUAGAGCACAACCUACCCUGCAAUAAAAAGAAACCAAACCAGCAGUACUCGUUUCGCUUAGCAAGACCCAGGGCAUGGAUGGAGCCUGGGAUCCCCGAGUUCUGAGCCAUGCUGCUAUUUGUAUGCCUUGGGCCAAUCCCUUCCCCUCCCCAGGCUGCAGCUGCUUCAUCUGUCAGGUGAAGGGGCUGGACUAGAUGACCUUUAGACUUCUUCCUGAUCUGACGCUCCAGCCAGGACAUGCGUUGUCAAGAAACCCUAGGAGAAGGAAGAGAAUUCAUUCUCAUUUUCUUCCUUUGAAUUUCUAAGUAACCACAGUUGAUCAUUGGUUAAAGAGGGGUACGAGGGCUGUCGCCACGCUGCCUCUCUCACACUCUGAUUUCUCUGGGUCACAGGAGACAGAGGUUGGGCUUUUUUGCCUGCCUGGUGUGUUUACCCGAGAAGGGCAGCAGGGGCAGCCGAGUGGAUACUGGGCUGAAAUGUUAGCGGUGCAUUCUUUUCGCACUGACUUCAUCACGCAGAAUGUGCAGCCCCAGGUGGGGCUGAGCUCAAAACCAAAAGCAGGGCUGGGCAGAUGAAGGCAGAAGUGAGUGUACUGAAACUAGCUUACACGGUCUGGUACUUGAUAGAACGAUCUGGAAGUCAACUAAAAUAGGG